GACUGUCUUAUCGAACUGGGCAGGAUACAGCCAACUGUGACACAUGUCGUAACAGUGCCUGCAUCAUAUACAGUGUGGAACUAGAUUUUAAACUUCAAGAGGACAAACUUCAGCCCUUAAUGAAGAGACUGUGUCCAUUAGAAGAGCCGUCCUACCCCUCUCUGCCUUACACACACGAGGUGUUCACCUCUACACCCAAACGCAAGUCCAAGACUGAGACCAAGAAGCAUGCACGAUGGAAACUCUGGUUCCUCUAAUAUAUGGAUCCAGGAUCCCUAAAACCAUCACAAAUGAGCAAAUUCUAGUGGAAUUGGAUAAACAUGGAGAAAUGCUCACUGCUAGCCACCGUUUGGAACAUGCAUCACGGGAUCCACUGAACGACUGGAUUUUAGUAAGGAAUAACAGUUGUUUUCUAAUCAUGACCCUCUGAUGAACCCUCUGUGUUUGGGAACUGCUGAAUUCACCUGAUCUCACAUUUUUCAAUGGGAUUACACAAUGAUCCUUAGGUUUAGUCAAGUUAGCAAGGGACCCUGCAGAGGCAACAAGAAACUUCAAAGCUAAAACACUAGUUUGCCACAAAACUACUUUGGAGCCGUAGAUCAAAGACAUUUAAUCAGCAAAGCACAAACUUUUGAGGAUUAUAAAGUAGCUUUGAUAGCUGAGAUAUACCUCUGUCUGUUUCCCUGUUUUUCCCUCUUUCUUUCUUUCUUUCUUUCUCAAAGUCUCUCACCUGUUCAAUUUUUUAAUUUUUAAAUUUGAUUACCAUUUUAUGACAGAAUAAAUGAUAUGAAUGAAAUGAAAUUAGUGAGUAAAUGCAGAAUCAGCUGACUGCAUGCACUAAUAAUCAAUAACUUUGUAGUGAUAUUUUUCUGGAAGAUGUUGAGAAUGCACAAUUAGGUAAGGUAAGAGGUAAGGUUGUAAAAGGUGUUUACACACUGGUGUUCUCAAAAAAAGUAAAUUAUAAUAAUAAUUCAUGAAAAUACGGUGACUUUCUGUUUCAAAUAAUGGGCCAUCAACAUUUCUGGAAUAAUAACAACUUUUUCAGUGUGCAGAUGUUCUGGUCUGAAACUAUUUUCUUGGGAAUGUGAUGCUGUAUUUAUAACAUACUGUAAACCUAGGUCAAUUUUUCAGUAAAUAUAUUUUUCAGACUCAUAAAGAUGCUUGAGAAUUGCCUGGAGAUUACAGGCAAUAUGUUCCAUGGUGGAAAACAAAUAUGAGAACACACCUCAAAUCUGUUUAGAUGAUCAUUGUUUUGUGUUAUAGGUUGGACAGUGCACAAAUACAGAACACAAAACAAUAGUAAUAGGCUCUAUCCUACAAAACACACCACUCUGUUCAAGCUGACGUGUCAUUUGCUCAAUUAAAUUUGAAUAUGAUGGCAGUCAAUCACCAAAAUCUUGUGCUUGUUUACCCACCUAAAACAAAGUAAUGAAAGGAACACAACACACAAAUUGGGGAGUUUAAUAAUGCAGGUAACAUAGAGGGCUAUGUAUAUACAAACUGUGCUCAUCAUUUUAUUAGCUUCAAAGAGUCUUUGUGUUAGAUAUUCUCAAGUCUAAUGUCUUCACUACAGUGCCAAACACUGUAUUUAGCUGGUAGCCCAAGAACCUUCAUACUUGGAGGGUGUUUUGAUAACUGUAGGAUAUAUAUUUAAAAGUAAUAUUAUGUAAAAAAAAUAAAAUAAAAUCUUGGUCACAGUAUCUUGUUGUUGAAUUGGAGCACAGUACUUGUAAAUUCUUGUAGCAUAACCCAAAUGCAUCAUAAUACAUUGAGAAAGUGCAAUUGAUUUAUAUUGUGCAAUAUUACAUUUUAUACAAUUUCUACCCACAGUGCAUUUACAAUA